CCCUCAAACCUGGCUCAAAGAAAAAGGAACAGGAGAAUGGUCAAAAUACACAGCACACAGGUACUAAGAGGUCUUAGUGAAACUCCUCAGUUUGAACAGUAAAUGUGUAUGCUGAUUAAAAAUAAAACGAAGGCGGCAGUGCACACCUUUAAUCUUAGCACUGGGGCAGUCUGGUCUACAAAGCGAGUUCUAGGACAGCCAGAGCUACACAGAGAAACCCUGUCUCAAAGAACAAACAAAUAAACCAACAGGCAAAAGCCAGACACAAUAGUGUAAUCUGAACACUGAUCCCCUUGAAUCAAGUCAGUGAGCCCAGGUUCAAUGAGAGUUCUUGUCUAGGGAAGCCUAGAGAGAUUCUCAGCAGUUAGGAGUGCAUGCUGCUCUUGAAGAGGACCUGGGUUCAAUUCCCAGCACACACAUCUUUCUGGCAGAAAUGCUCACAAACCUACACACAUAUAUAAACACAGGCACACAAGGUAAUAACAAUGCAGUAAGAGGGAGCUGGAGGGAUGGCUCAGUGGUCAAUCCUGAGCAGGAAAACCCGCCAAUCCCUGAGCUCACUCAAGCUCAGGCAUUGAAAUCCCACCAAUCCUCACCCUGGAAAUCUCCCAGGGGAAAUCGCCCCACCCCAACCCCAACCCCGCUGGGCAAGAAAUCUUUUAUAAACUUUGCCACCUACUCAGUUCUUAGCUGCUUCUCACUGGAGCAGAGACAGCCACCCUCCCAACAGAUCUCUUGUGUAAGAUUUGUUAUGCAAAUGUUGACCUCGUGGCAUUCCCUGGCUCCCAAUUGCCAG
rnacentral:lncRNA from 1 species